rnacentral:rRNA from 1 species
UGGGAGAGAGAUUGAUCCUGGCUCAGGACGAACGCUGGCGGCGUGCCUAAUACAUGCAAGUCGUACGCUUCUUUUUCCACCGGAGCUUGCUCCACCGGAAAAAGAAGAGUGGCGAACGGGUGAGUAACACGUGGGUAACCUGCCCAUCAGAAGGGGAUAACACUUGGAAACAGGUGCUAAUACCGUAUAACAAUCGAAACCGCAUGGUUUUGAUUUGAAAGGCGCUUUCGGGUGUCGCUGAUGGAUGGACCCGCGGUGCAUUAGCUAGUUGGUGAGGUAACGGCUCACCAAGGCCACGAUGCAUAGCCGACCUGAGAGGGUGAUCGGCCACAUUGGGACUGAGACACGGCCCAAACUCCUACGGGAGGCAGCAGUAGGGAAUCUUCGGCAAUGGACGAAAGUCUGACCGAGCAACGCCGCGUGAGUGAAGAAGGUUUUCGGAUCGUAAAACUCUGUUGUUAGAGAAGAACAAGGAUGAGAGUAACUGUUCAUCCCUUGACGGUUCAACCAGAAAGCC